rnacentral:rRNA from 1 species
AUUGAACGCUGGCGGCAUGCUUUACACAUGCAAGUCGAACGGCAGCGCGGGCUUCGGCCUGGAGGCGAGUGGCGAACGGGUGAGUAAUGCAUCGGAACGUGCCCAGUAGUGGGGGAUAGCCCGGCGAAAGCCGGAUUAAUACCGCAUACGACCUGAGGGUGAAAGCGGGGGACCGAAAGGCCUCGCGCUAUUGGAGCGGCCGAUGUCGGAUUAGCUAGUUGGUGGGGUAAAGGCUUACCAAGGCGACGAUCCGUAGCUGGUCUGAGAGGACGACCAGCCACACUGGGAGUGAGACGCGGCCCAGAGUCCUACGGGAGGCAGCGGUGGGGAAGGGUGGACGAUGGGGGCAACCCUGAUCAAGCCGUGCCGCGUGCGGGAAGCAGGCCUUCGGGUUGUAAGCCGCUUUUGUUGGGGAAGAACGCUUCUGGCCGAGUACCCCGGGGGGAUGACGGUACCGGAAGAAGAAGCACCGGCUAACUACGUG